AAAAGCUCGUAGUUGGAUCAAGAGUUGGACAGUGCACGGUGGCCCCAUUUGUUUAGCUGGCUCCGGUCAGUUAGACGGUGGCGGAACAACCCCGUGCGCCAAACUGUCCACUCUAACAGACCGAAGCGGUUCCCUGUGAGUAGGCUCCUUAAUUGGGGCUGAAAGCGCCUACGCAUCAACCAUAUGCAUACAGGACGUCGGUCAAAGUUACUGUGAACAAACCAGCGUGUCCAAGGCAGGCUAUCGCCUGAAUGUUCGAGCAUGGAAUAACAAGGGAUCGAUUCUCUCGGUUCUUUUUGUUGGUUUUUAACCCGAGAAGGAGAAAUUCAGGCCACGGUGUCUGAGUUGGGUUUCCCAGGGCUUCGGCUCUGGCCCCAAUUAGGCCGUGUCCCUACGGGAUCAAUAGGGACUGACGGGGUCGUACCUACUUCCGCGUCAGAGGUGAAAUUCUUAGAUCCGCGGGA
rnacentral:rRNA from 1 species